UGGGGAAUUUUGCACAAUGGAGGAAACUCUGAUGCAGCGACGCCGCGUGAGUGAUGAAGAUCUUCGGAUUGUAAAACUCUGUCCUUAGUGAAGAUAAUGACAGUAACUAAGAAGCAAGCCCUGGCUAAAUACGUGCCAGCAGCCGCGGUAAUACGUAUGGGGCAAGCGUUGUCCGGAAUUAUUGGGCGUAAAGGGUACGUAGGCGGUUUAAUAAGUCCUAAUUAAAAGGCUAUGGCUCAACCAUAGUAUGGUUAGGAAACUGUUGAACUUGAGUAGAUGAGGGGAAAGUGGAAUUCCAUGUGUAGCGGUGAAAUGCGUAGAAAUAUGGAGGAACACCAAUGGCGAAGGCAACUUUCUGGAAUCAAACUGACGCUGAGGUACGAAGGCGUGGGGAGCAAACAGG
rnacentral:rRNA from 1 species